rnacentral:rRNA from 1 species
AUACGUAGGUGACAAGCGUUAUCCGGAUUUACUGGGCGUAAAGGGCGUGUAGGCGGUCUUGCAAGUCAGAAGUGAAAUUCCUGAGCUCAACUCGGGCGCUGCUUCUGAAACUGCAGGACUUGAGUGCUGGAGGGGAUAGCGGAAUUCCUAGUGGAGCGGUAAAAUGCGCAGAUAUUAGGAAGAACACCGGCGGCGAAGGCGGCAAGCGGCGCUGUAACGAACGCUGAGACGCGAAAGCGUGGGGAGCAAACAAGAUUAGAUACCCGGGUAGUCCACGCCGUAAACGAUGAAUACAAGGUGUAGGGGGUAUCGACUCCCUCUGUGCCGCAGUUAACACAAUAAGUAUUCCGCCUGGGGAGUACGGCCGCAAGGUUGAAACUCAAAUGAAUUGACGGGG